GAUGAAGAACGCAGUGAAAUGCGAUAAGUAAUGCGAAUUGCAGAAUUCAGUGAGUCAUCGAAUCUUUGAACGCACAUUGCGCCCUGUGGUAUUCCGCAGGGCAUGCCUGUUCGAGCGUCAUUUCAACCCUCAAGCCCCGCUUGGUGUUGGGCCCCGCCCGCUGUGGCCGGCCCUAAAGACAGUGGCGGCGCCGCCUGGCCCUCAGCGUAGUACAUCUCUCGCUCCAGGGUCCGGUGGCCGCCUGCCAGAACCCCCCAACUCUGUGGUUGACCGCGGAUCAGGUAGGGAUACCCGCUGAACUUAAGCAUAUCAAUAAGCGGAGGA
rnacentral:misc_RNA from 1 species